CCGGCCGCUCAAUCACGUACACCUGUCCAAGCGGAGGUAGCAAGGCUCUUUGCGCCAUAUAACAUUGGAGCCAGAAGGAAUAUGACGAGACGACCAGCACAAGUCCAAGUUAGCCGAAGAAGCUACACACACACUGUCUGUUGUUUGGCUGACCACAAUGCGGAUAAAAUUCCAAGCGUACUGUUUAAAGCUGAACUUCUUACUUCAGGACUUGGAGAGCAAAAAGUAACAUUUUCAGGGAAUGACCACGAUCCCAUGGUUAUAACAAAUAAACUGAUGGAAGUGUUUCCGAAGCUCCAACAAGGGGGGAG